rnacentral:rRNA from 1 species
GACGAACGCUGGCGGCGUGCCUAACACAUGCAAGUCGAGCGAACGGACGCGAAGCUUGCUUCACUGACGUUAGAGGCGGACGGGACAGUAAAACGUGGUUAACUUACCUAUAAGACUGGGAUAACUUCGGGAAACCGGUGCUAAUACCGGCUAACAUUCUGAACCGCAUGGUUCAAAAGUGAAAGACGGUCUUGCUGUCACUUAUAGAUGGAUCCGCGCUGUAUUAGCUAGUUGGUAAGGUAACGGCUUACCAAGGCAACGAUGCAUAGCCGACCUGAGAGGGUGAUCGGCCGCACUGGAGCUGAGACACGGUCCAGACUCCUGCGGGAGGCAGCAGUAGGGAAUCUGCCGCAGUGGGCGGAAACCUGACGGAGCAACGCCGCGUGAGUGAUGGAAGUCUUCGGAUCGUAAAACUCUGUUAUUAGUGGAGAACAUAUGUGUAAGGAGCUGUGCACAUCUUGACGGUACCUAGUCAGAAAGCCACGGCUAACUACGUG